UUGACUAGAACUUUGACCAUGUAAGUUGGACAACUUGUAAGUAGUUUCAUGAGUCUUCUAAUUUGAUAAGAACCAUUUGCAUUAUACUUGAUUCUAGACCAAGUUUAAGUUCUAUAAUGUUCUUAAAUUUUGUUAAAAUUUCAUCAUGCUCCACUUGUAUCACUUGUAACCUCUAACCAAUUUUGUUGAUUUCAAACCAAAAGAAGAAUUUUGCUUCUUUUCACAUUGCAAUGCUCUUUAAUCUCUUAUUUCUUCUUCCCCUGAUCUCAUCUUCUCACCUAUUUCUUUCUUCUCUUCUUUUCAACUCACAUAAUAGAGCUGAUGACAAUGUCAUUAUCUUUGCCAUCUGAUUCCAUGCACAAGAUGAUGAGUUCCGAUCAUGAGUUCUAGAGAAGAAGACGAUCUAUGCAUUGAUCAUUUUGCUGCGCAUCUGAUUCAGAAUUUGCCUCCAUGAAUCCGAUUAUGGAUCCUUCAAUCCCGUUCUUCUUACACCCGGGCGAACAUCCAGAACCUGAUGAAGAGCUCUUCUCCACAGGACAGGGCAAUGUCUCAAUCACUUCUUACUUCACCAAAUUGAAACGCAUAUGGGAAGAACUACAAAGCUUCAGUCCAAUCCCUUCGUGUGUUUGCACCCUCUCUUGCAUUGAGUUGUAUAAGGAGAAAGAUGAUCCAAGCAUAUCGUAAUUUACUAGCUCUCUUGCAACAUCAUGAAGCGACUAACUUGCACAAUAUCAACCACUGCACAUUGCUCAUGACACAGAUACAAAACUCACAAAUGAAGGCACCUUAAUGAUAAUGUCAAUUUUUUUCACCACAAAAUUCUGCAUUCUAGAUCAUAGAUACAGGUGCAACAGUGCAUGUCACCUUUAGUCUUCAUGCAUUUCAUUCAUAUGUCUACAUUAAACUAAUUCGGGUUAAAUUGCCUAAUAAAAGUAUUUCUCACUGCAUCAA